GUUCAGUCUCAGCUGUUACGUUAUUAUGAUUUCUAAUAGAUGUAACCGAAGCAUAUCUUAGCCAAAGCAAAACAUAUUUAGCAUAUUUAGUCAUCAGCUGUGCACAUUUAUUUCACGCAUACUUCACUUUGUUUCAGUGCUACCAGAUGGAAGUGCCACAGAGGGUAAUGUUAUAGAGGCAAGGGUCAGACUUCUAUCUUCAUUUUCCUGAUUUAAUCAAAUGGGACCUUCAAAUGUUUUUCUCUGCCUGUUCAGCUACAGUUGGAAUAUCUCACAGGCAAAAUGUCAGAAGCUGUUGGAAGAGAGGAAGGAGAGAAGAGCAUGGACAACUUAGGCUGCCAGGGCUGCAACAAGUGGAUGUCAAAUCUGCUCGGAGUUGGAAUAUGAAAUCAUACAGCAAGAACAGUAUAAUGAGACUGAGUAUGCAAAUGUCAUUGGAAAUAAGAGACAAGAAACACUGA
rnacentral:lncRNA from 1 species